GCGACGAUGUCUAGGGGUUCUGAGAGGAAGGUCCCCCACACUGGUACUGAGACACGGACCAGACUCCUACGGGAGGCAGCAGUGAGGAAUAUUGGUCAAUGGGCUUACGCCUGAACCAGCCAAGUCGCGUGAGGGAAGACUGCCCUAUGGGUUGUAAACCUCUUUUGUCAGGGAGCAACGCCGGCUACGUGUAGCCGGACUGAGAGUACCUGAAGAAAAAGCAUCGGCUAACUCCGUGCCAGCAGCCGCGGUAAUACGGAGGAUGCGAGCGUUAUCCGGAUUUAUUGGGUUUAAAGGGUGCGUAGGCGGAAUGCCAAGUCAGCGGUAAAAUCGCGGGGCUCAACCUCGCUCCGCCGUUGAAACUGGCGUUCUUGAGUGGGCGAGAAGUAUGCGGAAUGCGUGGUGUAGCGGUGAAAUGCAUAGAUAUCACGCAGAACUCCGAUUGCGAAGGCAGCAUACCGGCGCCCAACUGACGCUGAAGCACGAAAGCGUGGGUAUCGAACAGGAUUAGAUACCCUGGUAGUCCACGCAGUAAACGAUGAAUACUAGCUGUUCGGGGCAAUUGGGCCUUGAGUGGC
rnacentral:rRNA from 1 species